UCUCCUCAGUCAGUCAGUCCUUAAGCCGUCAUUUCCUCAUCUUCUUUCCUUUCUCCUCUCUCCUCUCUCCUCUCUCCUUCAAAAACCUUAACAUCCCCAAUUUCCCACUCGAUGACAUCUUAUCAAUGGAUGUUCAGCUCUUACAAAACCCUAAAAUUCCAUCCCCAAAUCAACCAAAUUCCUCAAAUUCUCUCAAUGUCUUCCUCAGAGUUUGCCCCCUUCCAAUUGCUCCUUCCAAACCCUCUAAAUCGAAACAACCUAAUUCGAAAAAACCCAGUAAGAGUUGUCUUACGAUCAAUGACAAUUCAUUCUAUUACGAUUAUUCCCUCGAUUUACGAUUCUAACACGUUGAAAUCUGAAGUUUACAACAGAUUUUCGCAUGUUUUUUCUUCAAAUUCUUCUUAGGUUUGUUGUUUGAAUUCCCCCCUUUUUUAGUUUUUGGUAUUUUUUCAAUUGAUUGACUGCAUACUUUUUUAAGUGAAUUGUGGUUAUAACUGUGCAGGAUGAAGUGUAUGAUAAGCUCAUGAGACCAAUGGUUGAGGGAUUUAUGAGUGGAAAAGGUGGGCUUUCGGCUGCUUUAGGGCCUAGUGGUUCUGGGAAAACUCACACCGUUUUCGGGUCUGUCAAAGUACCCGGUUUGGUUCCUCGCGCUCUUUGCCACAUUUUUUAUGCUGAAGCUGGUAAAUCGUCUAUGACAUCGAGUCUUUGCGGUCCUGUUGGUGAAUUGCUCUCGAAGAUUCGGUAGAUCGAAGCCUCUUCAUAAGGUCUUUGGUGGUGGUAAACGGUACUAAUAUACCUGAGGAGAGUCUUCCUGAGCCAUUUAACCAGAAGAAGCGUGAUCUGCUGUUACAUAUCUUCGAACAAUCAAGUACAAGCUCUCGCAUUCAGAAAUUUGCUAGUGUAGCAGAGUCAGACACAGCUCAAGCAUCCCAUUUUUCUCCAUCUUUAGGGGAGCAUUUUUUCAAUGGGAGGAUCAUACAGUAAAUCAAGGAACAGUCUCCAGAGUCCAUCAGAUUUCAUUUUGGUCAUACACAAGAGAUGAUUGAUUUCGCGGGGGAAGUUGGUGCUCCAGACAAACCACUUGAGUUGCAGUAAUUUGUGGAAGAUGUAAACGAUUUAACAUUAAUUUAGUGGAAAAUCAUUUAAAUCUCUUAUUGCCAUUGAGAUUUUCUUUUGCUCUAUUUUUUCAGUUUUAGUUAUUAGGUGAUAAUAAAUGUAUUUUUUUUUUGUUGAUUGUAUAUAUAUGAAGUACUAUUUUUAUCUCAAUUAAUUAAUAAAAUAAUUGUGCUAUAAUUAUUAUGCAAGCUAGCUAAUCCAGCACAA